GCGGUCGUAGCUCAGAUGGACAGAGCGCAGGAUUCCUAAUCCUGGUGUCGUGGGUUCGACUCCCACCGAUCGCACCA
rnacentral:tRNA from 1 species